ensembl:misc_RNA Y_RNA Y RNA
GGCUGGUCCGAAUGCAGUGAUAUUGAGAGAUCAUUGAUCACAACCAGUUACAGAUUUCUUUGUUCCUUCUCCAAUCUCCACUUGACUAACGGUGC